rnacentral:rRNA from 1 species
AACGAACGCUGGCGGCAUGCCUAACACAUGCAAGUCGAACGAAGGCUUCGGCCUUAGUGGCGCACGGGUGCGUAACGCGUGGGAAUCUGCCCCUCGGUUCGGAAUAACAGUUAGAAAUGACUGCUAAUACCGGAUGAUGACUUCGGUCCAAAGAUUUAUCGCCGAGGGAUGAGCCCGCGUAAGAUUAGGUAGUUGGUGGGGUAAAGGCCUACCAAGCCGACGAUCUUUAGCUGGUCUGAGAGGAUGAUCAGCCACACUGGGACUGAGACACGGACCAGACUCCUACGGGAGGCAGCAGUGGGGAAUAUUGGACAAGAGGCGACAGCCAGAUCCGACAAUGCCGCGUGAGUGAUGAAGGCCUUAGGGUUGUAAAGCUCUUUUACAAGGGAUGAUAAUGACAGUACCUGGAGAAUAAGCUCCGGCUAACUCCGUGCCAGCCGCCGCCGUAA